rnacentral:rRNA from 1 species
UACGUAGGUGGCAAGCGUUGUCCGGAAUUAUUGGGCGUAAAGCGCGCGCAGGCGGUCCUUUAAGUCUGAUGUGAAAGCCCACGGCUCAACCGUGGAGGGUCAUUGGAAACUGGGGGACUUGAGUACAGAAGAGGAAAGCGGAAUUCCACGUGUAGCGGUGAAAUGCGUAGAGAUGUAGAGGAACACCAGUGGCGAAGGCGGCUUUCUGGUCUGUAACUGACGCUGAGGCGCGAAAGCGUGGGGAGCAAACAGG